rnacentral:rRNA from 1 species
AGAGAGAGACAUGCGCGCAUAUCAAUAAGCGGAGGAAAAGAAACUAACAAGGAUUCCCUUAGUAACGGCGAGUGAAGCGGGAAGAGCUCAAAUUUGAAAUCUUCAAGGUCCUACCUUGACGAAUUGUAGUUUAAAGAAGUAGGUUUUCUGUUGAAGUUUUGGUAAAAGUUCUUUGGAAUAGGACAUCAUAGAGGGUGAGAAUCCCGUAUUUGGUCAUUCUUCUAGCUGUGUGAUACACUUUCAAAGAGUCGGAUUGUUUGGGAAUGCAGUCCAAAAUGGGUGGUAAAUUUCAUCUAAAGCUAAAUAUUGGCGAGAGACCGAUAGCGAACAAGUACCGUGAGGGAAAGAUGAAAAGAACUUUGAAAAGAGAGUUAAACAGUACGUGAAAUUGUCAAAAGGGAAGCGUUUGACACCAGUGUUGUUUUUCUCGAAAAUCAAUUAAAAAAGAUUGGAUUUUGUGUUGUAUUGACUUUAAUCAGCUUUCUUCACUUUUUUCAUUGUCUAUUUUUAAUGCACUUUUCGUUUAACAAGUCAACAUCAGUUUCUUUUGUUGUAAAAGAGUCAUUGGAAGGUGGCUUUCCUUUCGGAUGAAAGUGUUUAUAGCCUUUGACUUCUGCAAUCGGAGAGAUUGAGGUCUGCAGCGUAGAUCCUUCUGGAUUAGAUACAUUUGUGCUAAGUUAUAGUUUUUCAUAGACAACAUGUUGACUAUGAUCAGUCAUGUAGCUUACUCGCUGAUGCUAUUUUACCUACGCUUAGGAUGUUGACAGCAGUAUAGACUGU